UAGCUGGAAGCAAAAAGUUGUUUCACAAAUUUUACUACGCACACAAUAAAAAAUAUCAAUAAUAAUAACAAUAAGGUUCAUGGGGACGGCUCAGUCUCCUUCAUGAAACCCUGAACGCUAAUAACACACGCAGGAAUAGGCUAGGGUUCAUGGCGGCUCAUUCGCUUCAAUGAAACCCUUGAACUCCGCCUCAGCAACAAAAAAAAAAAGUUGGCUUAAUAUAAUAAUAACAAUAACAAUAACACGUUCAUGGGGACGGCUCAGUCUCCUUUAUGAAACCCUGAACGCUAACAUAACAGUACAGGAAUAGUGUUCAUGGCGGCUCAGUCUCUGUUCGCUUCAAAGCCUCAGCAAAAAAAAAAAAAAAGUUCUCGGAAACUAAAACCUGCAUGGGCAGCUCGCGACCAUGUGGUUUGGGUCGCCACAAUAGAGACAGAGCUUCUCCUCCUGGGGCCCGUUCCAGAAAGCACGCUCAACCAACUCUGAACCUAACCCUGAAAUCUGAGUCAACCAACUCUGAGAUGGGCAACUCUUGAGUUUUCCAUUCCAGAACAGCUGUUCUGAAUUAGUUAAAUCAACUCUGAGUAUGUAAACUCUGAGUUAAGCGCAUGCCUGCCGACUCUACAAAGCCAUCAUCAAUGGAGCUCCGAUACUACGAUUCACCAUGGCAACCGGGAGAGAGUUAAAAAUGCGGAGACAUGUAGGAGAAACUCAGGGUUUCUUGAAGAAAACCUGCCAGUGAGCAGGUUAGGUUCACAGAGUCAGUUACUAUGGUAACUGACCUAAGUUGAGUUCACUCUCUUUCCGGAACGGAAAACUCAGAGUAUCCCUCUUCUCAGGGUUAACAUACUCAGAGUUUCAGGAAAACCUGCUUUCUGGAACGGGCCCCAGGUCCUCUCCACCGGGUCCAACUUAACUCGGGGCCCAGGGGACCAUGAGCCUGGCACGAUGCAGCUGCGAUCUGUGGCACAGGCGACAUCCAACGUUGCGGGUCUGUCAGUACCGCAGCUGACAUCUUUCGCAGGUUUCACGGUACUAGCUUUGUCCGACAUGAUCCUUUUGAGGUCACUCAGCGUGCGCGUCAUGUUGACCACAAAGACGGACAUCUCGGACAUGGCCCGGUGCGUCUCGGAAAUCUUUUUAUCUUGCGCUUGCAGCAUGGCCCUUACUGUUUCAAGCUCGGAAUGCUGGCGGGCACACACCUCCUCCAGACUCUUCUCCAUCUCCGGCAGCUGGUUGUUGGUCAUCUCAGAGUUUAUGAACUUGCUUCGACCUGUUACUGUGUCGAGGAAGUUAUGUGAUCAAUAGGCCCCGCAGCUGCUUCCAAGCGCUGAUCACGCUGAAUAAAUCACACUGCUUGGUUUGGCUUAAUUGGUGUCGUAGAGGCAGUGCACUCAUUUUUUCAGAAUUUUCAACCAAACAUAACAAAAUUCAUAUGGUGUUACUGUCCGGCACUUGUUUCUCAAAGUGAAAACUUGAAUACAUUUCUUGAAGCCUGGCAAUACAUGAUAGCUACAGUUCCAGACCAGUUCCAGCCCAUGCCCACUUAGCCCAUAUAAAACUCUUACCGGACCCAGAUGUGGUUGACCAGCUCUAACCCAUGCCCACUGAGCCCACACAUAACCCAUACAGCACCCAGAUAUGGUUGACCAGUUCAAACCCAUGCCUACUUAGCCCAUAGAUAGCCCAUAUGGGAGCCAGACAUGGGUGACCAGUUCCAGCCCAUGCCCACUUAGCCCAUAUAAAACUCUUACCGGACCCAGAUGUGGUUCACCAGCUCUAACCCCUGCCCACUUAGCCCAUAUGUAACCCAUAUGGGAGCCAGACAUGGGUGACCAGUUCAAGCCCAUGCCCACUUAGCCCAUAUGUAACCCAUAUCGAACCCAGAUGUGGUUGACCAGCUCUAACCCAUGCCCACUGAGCCCACACAUAACCCAUACAGCACCCAGAUAUGGUUGACCAGUUCAAACCCAUGCCUACUUAGCCCAUAGAUAGCCCAUAUGGGAGCCAGACAUGGGUGACCAGUUCCAGCCCAUGCCCACUUAGCCCAUAUAAAACUCUUACCGGACCCAGAUGUGGUUCACCAGCUCUAACCCAUGCCCACUUAGCCCAUAUGGAACCUAUAUGGAACCCAGAACAAUUGCCCACUUCUAGCCCAUGCCCACUUGGUACCCAGGUAACACACAUUGAGCCCAUAUGAUACCCAGGUGGACAUGUUGUCUGGGAAACUUUAGGGAAAUUCUUAGCACAGUUGCUAACCACGACCCACUUGUUAAGAGAAGAUUAACUUCUAUUAACAAUGCAAAGUACACAAGCAAGAUCAUCCAGAAUGAGGUUUUGGGUUGUUUGGCAGAAAUGGUUCGUUCUGAAAUCAUAGAAGAAGUGAAGAACAGUGAGGUUUUCAGCAUCAUGGCAGAUGAAACAAAGGAUGUUUCAAAAAGUGAACAGAUUUCU
rnacentral:lncRNA from 1 species